GACGAACCGUGCGAACGUUGUUCGGAUUCACUGGGCUUAAAGGGCGCGUAGGCGGACACGCAAGUCUAGGGUGAAAUCUUUCAGCUUAACUGGAAAAGUGCCUUGGAUACUGCGUGUCUCGAGGGAGGUAGGGGCAUGUGGAACUUCCGGUGGAGCGGUGAAAUGCGUAGAUAUCGGAAGGAACGCCGGUGGCGAAAGCGACGUGCUGGACCUCUUCUGACGCUGAGGCGCGAAAGCUAGGGGAGCGAACGGG
rnacentral:rRNA from 1 species